GACGAACCGUGCGAACGUUAUUCGGAAUCACUGGGCUUAAAGCGCGUGUAGGCGGCCCGGCACGUCCGUCGCUGAAAGCCCCCGGCUCAACCGGGGAAGGGGCGCGGAUACGAUCGGGCUGGAGGGGGGUAGGGGGAUCGGGAACUUCCGGUGGAGCGGUGAAAUGCGUUGAGAUCGGAAGGAACGCCCGUGGCGAAAGCGCGGUCCUGGACCCCACCUGACGCUGAGACGCGAAAGCCAGGGGAGCGAACGGG
rnacentral:rRNA from 1 species